CAGUGGGGAAUAUUGGACAAUGGGCGAAAGCCUGAUCCAGCCAUGCCGCGUGAGUGAUGAAGGCCCUAGGGUUGUAAAGCUCUUUUGUGCGGGAAGAUAAUGACGGUACCGCAAGAAUAAGCCCCGGCUAACUUCGUGCCAGCAGCCGCGGUAAUACGAAGGGGGCUAGCGUUGCUCGGAAUCACUGGGCGUAAAGGGUGCGUAGGCGGGUUCUUAAGUCAGAGGUGAAAUCCUGGAGCUCAACUCCAGAACUGCCUUUGAUACUGAGAGUCUUGAGUAUGACAGAGGUGAGUGGAACUGCGAGUGUAGAGGUGAAAUUCGUAGAUAUUCGCAAGAACACCAGUGGCGAAGGCGGCUCACUGGGUCAUUACUGACGCUGAGGCACGAAAGCGUGGGGAGCAAACAGGAUUAGA
rnacentral:rRNA from 1 species